UUCAAGGUUGAAAGAGAUCUUCAAUCAAAACGCUUCCCUGUCACAGGAGGAAGAGCUCUGCAUUGAACUGAUUACUGAAAUCGCUCUUGCUGGGGAAGCAUAAGCUAAAACAAAAGCAACAACAAUAUAAACCUGCUACAGUUGUGAACUCUGCACAAAUUGUUCUGAGAGAACCCAGGAAGUUUGGGGAAAACCGGGCCAGAAGCACAACUCUGGGCACGAGAGAGAACAAGGAGAAGCUUUCCCAGCGGAGGCCGGGAUGCAGGCCAUCACUGUGGUAGUGAAGACUCCCAACAGAGGAGUCCAGCCGGGGGCUGCCCAGCUGCUUCACCCUACAUAG
rnacentral:lncRNA from 1 species